AGAGUUUGAUCCUGGCUCAGAACGAACGCUGGCGGCGUGCCUAACACAUGCAAGUCGAGCGCUCCAAGAGGCUUCGGCCUUUUGGGGAGCGGCAGACGGGUGAGUAACACGUGGGUAACCUGCCCCUGAGUGGGGAAUAACUACUCGAAAGGGUGGCUAAUACCGCAUAAGACCACGGCCUCGCGGGGCUGGGGUCAAAGGCGCAAGCUGCUCAGGGAGGGGCCCGCGUCCGAUUAGCUAGUUGGCGGGGUAACGGCCCACCAAGGCGACGAUCGGUAGCUGGUCUGAGAGGAUGAUCAGCCACACUGGUACUGAGACACGGACCAGACUCCUACGGGAGGCAGCAGUGGGGAAUAUUGCGCAAUGGGCGAAAGCCUGACGCAGCAACGCCGCGUGGGUGAUGAAGGCCUUCGGGUCGUAAAGCCCUGUCAAGUGGGAAGAAACCUCCCUGCAAGGGGAGCUGACGGUACCACUGGAGGAAGCACCGGCUAACUCCGUGCCAGCAGCCGCGGUAAUACGGAGGGUGCAAGCGUUGUUCGGAAUCACUGGGCGUAAAGGGCGCGUAGGCGGUCUUGCAAGUCUGAUGUGAAAGCCCGGGGCUUAACCCCGGAAGUGCAUUGGAAACUGCAAGACUUGAGUUCGGGAGAGGAAGGCAGAAUUCCCGGUGUAGGGUUGAAAUCCGUAGAUAUCGGGAGGAAAACCGGUGGCGAAGGCGGCCUUCUGGAACGAAACUGACGCUGAGGCGCGAAAGCGUGGGGAGCAAACAGGAUUAGAGACCCUGGUAGUCCACGCGGUAAACGAUGGAUGCUGGGUGUGGGGUUCAAUACGGAGCUCCGUGCCGAAGCUAACGCAUUAAGCAUCCCGCCUGGGGAGUACGGUCGCAAGACUAAAACUCAAAGGAAUUGAUGG
rnacentral:rRNA from 1 species